rnacentral:rRNA from 1 species
UACAGAGGGGGCAAGCGUUGUUCGGAAUUACUGGGCGUAAAGGGCGCGUAGGCGGCCUUCUAAGUCGAACGUGAAAUCCCUGGGCUCAACCCAGGAACUGCGUCCGAUACUGAAAGGCUUGAAUCCGGGAGAGGGAUGCGGAAUUCCAGGUGUAGCGGUGAAAUGCGUAGAUAUUGGGAAGAACACCGGUGGCGAAGGCGGCGCUCUGGACCGAGACUGACGCUGAGGCGCGAAAGCGUGGGGAGCAAACAGG